rnacentral:rRNA from 1 species
CCUACGGGAGGCAGCAGUGAGGAAUAUUGGUCAAUGGUCGUAAGACUGAACCAGCCACGCCGCGUGCAGGAUGACGGCCCUAUGGGUUGUAAACUGCUUUUAUGCGGGGAUACAAUGCGUGUCGUGUGAUGUUUUGUAUUUACCGUACGAGUAAGGACCGGCUAAGUCCGUGCCAGCAGCCGCGGUAAUACGGAAGGUACGGGCGUUAUCCGGAUUGGGUGGGUUUAACGGGAGCGUAGGCGGUAUGUUAAGUGAAGCGUGAAAUGCCGUGGCUCAACGUGGGCAUUGCCGCGGAUACUGGCAAGCUAGAGAGUGUGAGAGGUAUGCGGAAUUCGUGGUGUAGGGGUGAAAUGCGUAGAUAUCAGGAAGAAAACCGAUUGCGAAGGCAGCUUACUGAGGCACUACUGACGCUGAGGAGCGAAAGCGUGGGUAGCAAACAGGAUUAGAUACCCGUGUAGUC